GAUGAACGCUAGCGGCAGGCUUAACACAUGCAAGUCGAGGGGUAUAGUUCUUCGGAACUAGAGACCGGCGCACGGGUGCGUAACGCGUAUGCAAUCUACCUUUUACAGAGGGAUAGCCCAGAGAAAUUUGGAUUAAUACCUCAUAGUAUGUGAGAAUCGCAUGGUUUUCACAUUAAAGUUCCAACGGUAAAAGAUGAGCAUGCGUCCCAUUAGCUAGAUGGUAAGGUAACGGCUUACCAUGGCGACGAUGGGUAGGGGUCCUGAGAGGGAGAUCCCCCACACUGGUACUGAGACACGGACCAGACUCCUACGGGAGGCAGCAGUGAGGAAUAUUGGACAAUGGGCGCAAGCCUGAUCCAGCCAUGCCGCGUGCAGGAUGACGGUCCUAUGGAUUGUAAACUGCUUUUGUACAGGAAGAAACACUCCCUCGUGAGGGAGCUUGACGGUACUGUAAGAAUAAGGAUCGGCUAACUCCGUGCCAGCAGCCGCGGUAAUACGGAGGAUCCAAGCGUUAUCCGGAAUCAUUGGGUUUAAAGGGUCCGUAGGCGGUUUAAUAAGUCAGUGGUGAAAGCCCAUCGCUCAACGGUGGAACGGCCAUUGAUACUGUUAAACUUGAAUUAUUAGGAAGUAACUAGAAUAUGUAGU
rnacentral:rRNA from 1 species